CGCGUAGGCGGCCGCCUAAGUCAGACGUGAAAUCCCUCGGCUCAACCGGGGAACUGCGUCUGAUACUGGGUGGCUUGAAUUCGGGAGAGGGAUGCGGAAUUCCAGGUGUAGCGGUGAAAUGCGUAGAUAUCUGGAGGAACACCGGUGGCGAAGGCGGCAUCCUGGACCGAGAUUGACGCCGAGGCGCGAAAGCCAGGGAGCAAACG
rnacentral:rRNA from 1 species